rnacentral:rRNA from 1 species
AUGCAUUGGCAUGCUUGGAUCCAUUUGAUAAAACCAAAGGCGGAAGGCGGACUUGGCUUCGGCGACCUACGCCUAUUUAACCAAGCUUUGCUCGCUCGCCAAGCAUGGCGGCUCUUGACCAAACCGGAGAGUCUGUGUGCUCGUGUUUUGAAGGCGAGAUACUACCCGAAUGGAAGCUUGGAAGAUACGGUUUUCUCAAGAGGAGCUUCGGCGACUUGGCAGGCAGUUGAACACGGGCUGCAACUUCUCAAGUCCGGCUAA